rnacentral:rRNA from 1 species
CCUACGGGAGGCAGCAGUAGGGAAUUUUCGUCAAUGGGCGCAAGCCUGAACGAGCAAUGCCGCGUGAACGAGGAAGGUCUUCGGAUCGUAAAGUUCUGUUGAAGGGGAAAAAGAGCGGAGAGAGGAAAUGGUCUCCGAUUGAUAUUACCCUUCGAGGAAGUCACGGCUAACUACGUGCCAGCAGCCGCGGUAAUACGUAGGUGGCGAGCGUUAUCCGGAAUGAUUGGGCGGAAAGGGUGCGUAGGCGGCCUGCUAAGUCUGGAGUGAAAGGUACCGGCUCAACCGGUACAGGCUCUGGAAACUGGCGGGCUAGAGAGCAGGAGAGGGCGGUGGAACUCCAUGUGUAGCGGUAAAAUGCGUAGAUAUAUGGAAGAACACCAGUGGCGAAGGCGGCCGCCUGGCCUGUUACUGACGCUGGGGCACGAAAGCGUGGGGAGCAAAUAGGAUUAGAUACCCGAGUAGUC